GACGAACGCUGGCGGCGUGCUUAACACAUGCAAGUCGAACGGAAAGGCCCUGCUUUUGUGGGGUGCUCGAGUGGCGAACGGGUGAGUAACACGUGAGUAACCUGCCCUUGACUUUGGGAUAACUUCAGGAAACUGGGGCUAAUACCGGAUAGGAGCUCCUGCUGCAUGGUGGGGGUUGGAAAGUUUCGGCGGUUGGGGAUGGACUCGCGGCUUAUCAGCUUGUUGGUGGGGUAGUGGCUUACCAAGGCUUUGACGGGUAGCCGGCCUGAGAGGGUGACCGGCCACAUUGGGACUGAGAUACGGCCCAGACUCCUACGGGAGGCAGCAGUGGGGAAUAUGGCACAAUGGGCGGAAGCCUGAUGCAGCAACGCCGCGUGCGGGAUGACGGCCUUCGGGUUAUAAACCGCUUUCGCCUGUGACGAAGCGGGAGUGACGGUAAUGGGUAAAGAAGCACCGGCUAACUACGUG
rnacentral:rRNA from 1 species